rnacentral:ribozyme from 1 species
ACCACCCAUCGGUAGAAAGUACAUUUUACUGUCUUGAGCGGUAGUGAUAACCUCACCCAAUCCAAGUACAAUAUGCAGAACGGUGGAAAACUUCCCUACAAAGUCGCUGAUAUCAGCCUUGCUGACUGGGGUCGCAAAGAGAUCAAGCUUG